UACGAAGGGGGCUAGCGUUGCUCGGAAUCACUGGGCGUAAAGCGCACGUAGGCGGAUUCCUAAGUCGGGGGUGAAAUCCUGGAGCUCAACUCCAGAACUGCCUUUGAUACUGAGGGUCUUGAGUUCGGGAGAGGUGAGUGGAACUGCGAGUGUAGAGGUGAAAUUCGUAGAUAUUCGCAAGAACACCAGUGGCGAAGGCGGCUCACUGGCCCGGUACUGACGCUGAUGCGCGAAAGCGUGGGGAGCAAACGGGG
rnacentral:rRNA from 1 species